UUACGACCGCAUCAGGUUGAAACACCGGUUAUCAUACGAUUACCGAAGUUAAGCAAGGCAGAGACUGGUUAGUACUUAGAUAGGUGACCGCUUUGGAAUACCAUAUGUUGA